UUUAAUGCUGAAAUGAUCGUGAAG
rnacentral:piRNA from 1 species